rnacentral:rRNA from 1 species
GACAGAGGUCCCAAGCGUUUGUUCGGAUUCACUGGGCGUAAAGGGUGCGUAGGCGGUCGGGUAAGUCUGAUGUGAAAUCUCACAGCUUAACUGUGAAACUGCAUUGGAUACUAUCCGGCUAGAGGAAUGGAGGGGAGACUGGAAUACUUGGUGUAGCAGUGAAAUGCGUAGAUAUCAAGUGGAACACCAGUGGCGAAGGCGAGUCUCUGGACAUUUCCUGACGCUGAGGCACGAAAGCCAGGGGGAGCAAAACGGG